GAUGAACGCUGGCGGCGUGCUUAACACAUGCAAGUCGAACGGUGAACGAGGGAGCUUGCUCCCUCCGGAUCAGUGGCGAACGGGUGAGUAACACGUGAGUAACCUGCCCUUGACUCUGGGAUAAGCGUUGGAAACGACGUCUAAUACCGGAUACGACGCGCGAAGCCAUCUUCUGCGCGUGGAAAGAACUUCGGUCAAGGAUGGACUCGCGGGCGAUCAGCUAGUUGGUGAGGUAACGGCUCACCAAGGCGACGACGGGUAGCCGGCCUGAGAGGGUGACCGGCCACACUGGGACUGAGACACGGCCCAGACUCCUACGGGAGGCAGCAGUGGGGAAUAUUGCACAAUGGGCGCAAGCCUGAUGCAGCAACGCCGCGUGAGGGACGACGGCCUUCGGGUUGUAAACCUCUUUUAGUAGGGAAGAAGCGAAAGUGACGGUACCUGCAGAAAAAGCACCGGCUAACUACGUGCCAGCCGCCGCAGUAAUAC
rnacentral:rRNA from 1 species